GAUGAACGCUGGCGGCGUGCCUAAUACAUGCAAGUCGAGCGAACAGACGAGGAGCUUGCUCCUCUGACGUUAGCGGCGGACGGGUGAGUAACACGUGGAUAACCUACCUAUAAGACUGGGAUAACUUCGGGAAACCGGAGCUAAUACCGGAUAAUAUAUUGAACCGCAUGGUUCAAUAGUGAAAGACGGUUUUGCUGUCACUUAUAGAUGGAUCCGCGCCGCAUUAGCUAGUUGGUAAGGUAACGGCUUACCAAGGCAACGAUGCGUAGCCGACCUGAGAGGGUGAUCGGCCACACUGGAACUGAGACACGGUCCAGACUCCUACGGGAGGCAGCAGUAGGGAAUCUUCCGCAAUGGGCGAGAGCCUGACGGAGCAACGCCGCGUGAGUGAUGAAGGUCUUCGGAUCGUAAAGCUCUGUUAUUAGGGAAGAACAAAUGUGUAAGUAACUAUGCACGUCUUGACGGUACCUAAUCAGAAAGCCACGGCUAACUACGUG
rnacentral:rRNA from 1 species